AGGAAGACUCCUGCAAGGAAAAAUAAAUCCCAAAUCCCAUUUCAGUUGUGAUAAUUUCAGCUGUAAGUGACAAUAACCCUCAACUAAAAAAGCUUAAACAGUAAGAAAUCUAUUAUAUCAUAUAAAAAGAAGCCCAAUGUUAGAUUCAUGGUUGCUUCAUUCACUGAUACAGUGAUGCAAUCAGGAAUCCUUGCAUUCUUCUUCAACCUCUUUCAUCCUCAGGAUUUUGGUUUUGGUUGCAGGCUUAGACCCUCAUUGCUGCAAUAUGGUUGCUGUGGUUUCAGGUAUCAUACCGUUACCCAAAUGCCACCAUGAAAGAUGAGGGCAGGACACCAGAUACUGACCCACCAUGCUGAGGGCUUCGGAUUUUCUUUCUGCUUGAUAAACUUCUGUUAGCCAUUCUUUUAGAGCAGUUCUGCUAGUGAAAAAUUCUUAGUUUUCCUUCCUCUGAGAAUGUCUUUAUUUCAUCUUCAUUUCUGAAGAACAUUUUAACUGGAUAUAGGGUUCUGGAUUGAUACUUCUUUUAUUUCCUCAUGAAAAAUUUUGUGCCACUUCCCCAUGGUUUCUAAUGAGAAAUCCUUUGUGAGUCUAAGAAUUUUUUCUAGUAUAGAUAAAGCAUCAUUUUUCUCUGACUGCUUUUAAGCUUUUUCUUAGUGUUUAGUUUUCAAAAAUCUGAUUAUAAUGUGUUUGAACCUGGACUAUUUUUUAUAGUUAUUGUGUUAGAGAUUUGCUCAACUUCUUGAAUCUGCCGUUUAUGUCUCUUGUUAAAUUUAGGGAGAUUUUAGCUAUUAUUGGCACAAAUAUUUUUUUCAGCCCUGCACUCUUUCUUCUGUCCUUCUGGGACUCAGAUGGCACAAAUGUUAUAUUAUUUGUUAUCAUUCAGUAGGUUUUUGAGGCUCUGUUCAUUGUUUUUUUUUUCCAAUCUUUUUCCCCUGUUUUCAGAUUGAAUAAUUUUUGUUGAUGUAUCUUCAAAUUCACGGAUUUUUAACUCUGUCGUAUUCAUUUUGCUCUUCAAUCAAUAGGCAGGUGUUAAAUUUCAUUCGACAUAUUUUUCAUUUCUAAAAUUUCCGUUUGGGUCUUCCUGAUACCUUCUGUUUCUUUGUUGAGACUUUAUAUUUCUUCAUUUGUUUCAAGAGAAUUCAAAAUCACUUGUUGAAACAUUUUAUGAUGGCUGCUUCAAAAUCCUUGUCAGAUAAUUUCAACAUCUGUCCUUUCUUGGUGUAGGUGUCUUUUGAUUGCUUUUUUCUCAUUCAAAUUGAGAUUUUCAUGGUUUUUGCCAUAAUGGGUAAUUUUAUAUUGUAUCCUGAACAUUAUGAAUACUAAGUAUAAGACUCUGGUUUCUAUUUAAAUCUUCUAUUUUAGCAAGGAUUCAACCUUUUUAUAUAAAGAAUGUACAUCCUAGCCUAGUUUUGUGAGCUGUGAUUCAAAUGCCAAUUUAGAUUUCAAAGCCUUUGCAGUGUUAUUCCGGUCUGCCACAGUUGUGUGCUUCCCAGAGACCAACUUGAAUUCUGGGCAGUGUUUCAGAAGAGUGUUCAAUUUUCAAACCCUUUGCUAUGUUGUUUCUGGGGUUACAUGCAUGGACUUCUAAGAAGUUUUCUCAAGAUUUCAACAGCUCCUUUCUUUCAUUGGAAGGAGGAGUAACACCAUUUCAUUAUUGUAUGGCAGAGAUAGAAGAUAAGGCUCUGCCCACAGUCUCUAGGCUGCAGCAUCUGGUGAGGAAGGGAAGAUGUAUGGCUGCAUUGCUUUUCUGUUGGUGUUCACCUGGAAUAGAGCAGAGAUGGGGUCUGCCUAUGUUACCCAGACUCAUUGCUUCCACCUGUUCCUGGACCAGUCCUAGAUGCCAGCAAUAGAGAAAUCCCUGCAGUUCCCCAAAGGAAAAAAGUCACAUGUUCAUGAUUAUUAAACACAGCUGUUUGAUUGGCAUUAAAAUGGAUCUGCCUGAUAAGACCUGGAACUGAGAACCCAAACAGAACCUAAGAUAAGCUCCCAAGGGAAGUGCUGGCAGUAGAUAUUCAGAGGCAUUUUGGACAGUUGGACAAUCAGAGUGAGACUGACCCACAAGCAGGCAAAACGUGUAUGCAUUAGCAGGUGUGUGGAAGAGGGCUAGAUUUUGACUGAGGGUUGGAGAGGACAUGAGCUGGUUUUUGCCUAAUAAUGACUAAUGAGUGAUUUAGGCAGAUGGAACCUCCAUGAAAUCUUCUGGAGGAUCCUGCUGUUAGUAGUGAAUACCCAGUCACAGCAACUGACAUUCAGAGGCAGCUGACAAGCCUCGGCAGCCUUGGCAGGAAGGGCAAGUCAAAGUUCUAGGUGUCAGAGUGGAAGCAGAGAAUCAAGCAGAAAAUUGGUACAGUAGGAUGGAGACCCAGAGUAUUAGGACAGAGCUGUGUGGCAGAGGUUGGGUCACUGUGGAGUAAAAAAGAACUUGUCGUGAUCCUGGAAAGUAGCAGCAAGAUUACAGUAGGGCUGGCAGGAGGGUGACCUGAUACUGAAACACUGAAUAUGGCCCCUGUUGUCUCUUCAGAUACAGGAUUAGGAGCCAUUGGGAAAGGCUUGAAGCUAUAGCUUGUGAGAAUGACCCUCAGUGCUAGAGAGAUAAUGGACAAUAAGUUAAACUUCAUUUUAGUCAGGCCCUGGGCACCUGUAGUGUCAAAAGCUUCUUCCACUAUUGAGAAUCACUAGAAAAUUACCAAGAAAUACCCAGUGGUCUAUUUAUUUAGUGGAUGCAUUAAAAAAAUUCUUCAAAUAGCCCCAUUCUUAGUGUGCUUUGACCUGUACACUCCCUAUAAUUCAGAAGAGUGAAGAAAGAAACAGUGGAGGAGAGAAUGUACUUAAAAAUACACAGUUAACCUUUUCCUCAAAGUCAAAGCCUAAAGGGAGAAUGGCAGUGUAAAGAAAGUAGGAGGAGGGACCAGGAUGACUUCUAAGGGAAAAAGAAAGGCAUCUUUUAUCCAAAACUAAAGCAACAUAAUGGCGAUGUGAUGUUGCUUUUUGUCCAUAACUAGGUCAUAAUAGACAAAUGCAUUUCUAAUGAUGAAGAACUCUGGAAGGGAUAGGAUCAAGGAGGGGAAAAGCAAGCCUCCCUCAAUGUGUACCACAUUCAUUUGGGACAAAGAUGAUGUAGGUGUGCUGCCUGUCAACUAGAAUGUGCAUGGGAAGGGGAAGAGAUGAACAAGAACAGAGAAUUACUCCUUGGGCCAUGUUGGUCAUUAGUAGAAUAGGUCACUCAUUUUGUCUUCUAGGAUAGAAUCUUUCUUUUUGAUACCCAAGAUGGCUUUGUGAUGUGUCAUCUUGGGUAUGUUAAAUCACUUUCCCCAGAAUUCCCGUUCAAGUGUGUUUCUGGUUAGGGUGGACUUUAAAGGAGAUUCUCACACAAGAGUUGAAAGACAGAAGAGAGGCAGCUGUCAUUUAAUAGUGUACACACACCAUCCUCCAGAUAUUCCAUCAAAUGCUAGUGUAGGUGCUGCUGGGAAGGGGUUUUCCAAAUGUAAU